UACAAUUGGCUGCGCAAUUCAAUGGAUAAAAACGUUGCUUUAUUUGUCUCUCAUUUUCUGGCCCGUUCUUUUCCCACGUUUCUCAACCAGCGACUCCCCAAAACAAAAGCCUCCCACAGUAAACCGAGCACGCACAUAAAAAGAGCUUGUCUGUGCGAGGAUCAAGUUAGUGGUCCGCAAACAUUAACCAAACAGAAGCACAAAGCAGGGGUGGGAAGGGGAGGAGCUGGAUGCCAGGGUCAGGAAAGAAACAAUCAGAAGGGUUUAGGAACAUCCAAAUCUCCUCAGCGGUUAAACCGACCCCAAACCACUUCUGGGAAACCACCGGUAUCCACUGCUUUGGGGAACUCUGGAUGCUCGUUAUGCCAAACGAUCUCAAAUUUAGGAAGGACGACCGCGUCGCCUGCCUCCCUCCCUCGCCCAGAGCCGGGAGCAAUGCUGGGGAAGGAGAGAGGACUUGGGAAGGAUCCGGACCUUACUUUCCCCGCGGGUCCCGGACCCGCAGCCCCCGGGUUGUGAGGCGGAAGCCAAAGGGGCGACCCCAGCGGAGCCGGCGUGCACGGACCCUGCCCCGCGGUACAAGAGGGGUGCCUCCGGCCCGGGACAGCGGGGCUCCCGGAGCCCGAAAGCCCCACGAGCGGCGACAGCGGGGCCCGGCGCUGACGAACAGAGGAAGCGAGUACAACGGCGCCGCCGUCGGGAACAUGCUCCUCGUCCCGGUACCAGUUGUUGGAUCCAAGAGAAUUCCGGAACCCAAACGCUCGCUCAAAGCACUUUAUUGGCAGUGAAACCGCAAGUAACCCGGAGCCCUCGGCGCGACCACGGCUAGAAUCAGCCUAAGGCGUGUGAGCUCGGCCAUCCCACGUCUGUCUUCACGCUCACCCGCAAGCCCAACACACUGGGGCUCCCAGUUAAUGAAUACUGAAGAGUAGGGCUGUCCCUACCGCUUCUCACUUCCUUGUUUUCAUCUUUUCGUUAUUCUUAAGCGACCUAACACAAUAAACAUAUUACCUUGUUGGUAACCCUUUUGUAAAGUCAUUCUGAAA
rnacentral:lncRNA from 1 species